CAGCCGCCGCGGUAAUUCGAAGGGUGCAAGCGUUAAUCGGAAUUACUGGGCGUAAAGCGUGCGUAGGCGGUGAGUUAAGUCUGCUGUGAAAUCCCCGGGCUCAACCUGGGAAUGGCAGUGGAUACUGGCUCGCUAGAGUGUGUCAGAGGAUGGUGGAAUUCCCGGUGUAGCAGUGAAAUGCGUAGAGAUGUGGAGGAACACCGAUGGCGAAGGCAGCCCCCUGGGCCAAGACUGACGCUCAUGCACGAAAGCGUGGGGAGCAAACAGGAUUAGAUACCCCAGUAGUCCCUGUCUCUUAUAC
rnacentral:rRNA from 1 species